rnacentral:rRNA from 1 species
CGUGUAGGCGGCGAUUUAAGUCUGGAGUGAAAGUCCUGCUUUUAAGGUGGGAAUUGCUUUGGAUACUGGAUGGCUAGAGUGCAGGAGAGGUUAGUGGAAUUCCCAGUGUAGCGGUGAAAUGCGUAGAGAUUGGGGGGAACACCAGUGGCGAAGGCGACUAACUGGACUGUAACUGACGCUGAGGCGCGAAAGUGUGGGGAGCAAACA